UAGGGAAUCUUCCACAAUGGACGCAAGUCUGAUGGAGCAACGCCGCGUGAGUGAAGAAGGCUUUCGGGUCGUAAAACUCUGUUGUUGGAGAAGAAUGGUCGGCAGAGUAACUGUUGUCGGCGUGACGGUAUCCAACCAGAAAGCCACGGCUAACUACGUGCCAGCAGCCGCGGUAAUACGUAGGUGGCAAGCGUUAUCCGGAUUUAUUGGGCGUAAAGCGAGCGCAGGCGGUUUUUUAAGUCUGAUGUGAAAGCCCUCGGCUUAACCGAGGAAGUGCAUCGGAAACUGGAAAACUUGAGUGCAGAAGAGGACAGUGGAACUCCAUGUGUAGCGGUGAAAUGCGUAGAUAUAUGGAAGAACACCAGUGGCGAAGGCGGCUGUCUGGUCUGUAACUGACGCUGAGGCUCGAAAGCAUGGGUAGCGAACAGGAUUAGAUACCCUGGUAGUCCAUGCCGUAAACGAUGAAUGCUAGGUGUUGGAGG
rnacentral:rRNA from 1 species